CCCCGCCNGACGGGGUGCAGCAGGCGCGAAAACUUGGCAAUGCGAGAAAUCGUGACCAGGGAACUCCAAGUGGCUGGGGUAAGACCCAGUCUUUUCUUGACUCUUCAACGGUCUUGGAAUAAGGGGUGGGUAAGGACGGUGCCAGCCGCCGCGGUAAUACCGGCGCCUCAAGUGGUAGUCGAUUUUAUUGGGCCUAAAACGUCCGUAGCCUGUUUGGUACAUUCGUGGGUAAAUCAACCAGCUCAACUGGUUGAAUUCUGCGAGCACGGCCAGACUUGGGACCGGGAGAGGUGUGGGGUACGCUCAGGGUAGGGGUAAAAUCCUGUCAUCCUGAGCGGACCACCUGUUGCGAAGGCGCCACACUAGAACGGAUCCGACGGUCAGGGACGAAGCCUAGGGGCACGAACCGGAUUAGAUACCCGGGUAGUCCUAGGUGUAAACGCUGUGGACUUGGUGUUGGGGACUCUCCGAGAUUCCUCAGUGCCGAAGCGAAGGUGAUAAGUCCACUGCCNNGGAGUNGNU
rnacentral:rRNA from 1 species